ACGAACGCUGGCGGCGUGCUUAACACAUGCAAGUCGAGCGGAAAGGCCCUGCUUUUGUGGGGUGCUCGAGUGGCGAACGGGUGAGUAACCCGUGAGUAACCUGCCCUUGACUUUGGGAUAACUUCAGGAAACUGGGGCUAAUACCGGAUAGGCGCUCCUGCUGCAUGGUGGGGGUUGGAAAGUUUCGGCGGUUGGGGAUGGACUCGCGGCUUAUCAGCUUGUUGGUGGGGUAGUGGCUUACCAAGGCUUUGACGGGUAGCCGGCCUGAGAGGGUGACCGGCCACAUGGGGACGGAGAUACGGCCCAGACUCCUACGGGAGGCAGCAGUGGGGAAUAUUGCACAAUGGGCGGAAGCCUGAUGCAGCAACGCCGCGUGCGGGAUGACGGCCGUCGGGUUGUAAACCGCUUUCGCCUGUGACGAAGCGUGAGUGACGGUAAUGGGUAAAGAAGCACCGGCUAACUACGUG
rnacentral:rRNA from 1 species